rnacentral:lncRNA from 1 species
CGCAGGUGCAUUGUCCAAGUCUCCUAUGCCAUUGGUGUGCCUGAGCCAUUGUCUGUUUUUGUGGACUCAUAUGGAACCGGCAAGAUUCCUGACAAGGAGAUCCUCAAAAUUGUGAAGGAAAGCUUUGAUUUCAGGCCAGGAAUGAUGACCAUCAAUUUGGAUCUCAAAAGGGGCGGUAAUGGCAGGUUCUUGAAGACUGCUGCCUAUGGACACUUUGGCAGGGAUGACCCAGACUUCACUUGGGAAGUUGUGAAGCCCCUCAAGUGGGAAAAGCCUCAAGCUUAAAUUUGAGUUGAAAAGUGAAAACUAUCCCUGCUGUUCAAGUUUGCUUCUAUUGGUAGUGGAUGAAUAAUUUGAAUAUUAUCUUGCUGCUGCUUUGUAAUACUAAGCAAAUCUCCUGUGUUCAGAACUC